rnacentral:rRNA from 1 species
GAGUUUGAUCCUGGCUCAGGAUGAACGCUAGCUGGAGGCUUAAUACAUGCAAGUCGAGCGGGAUUGGUAGCAAUACCAUGAGAGCGGCGCACGGGUGAGUAACGCGUACACGACCUACCUCUGACAGGGGGAUAGCCCUGGGAAACUGGGAUUAAUACCGCAUAUUAUUCUGAUUAAUAAAGGAUUGGAAUGAAAGUUCAGGCGGUCAGAGAUGGGUGUGCGUCUGAUUAGCUAGUUGGUAGGGUAACGGCCUACCAAGGCGAUGAUCAGUAGGGGGCGUGAGAGCGUGAUCCCCCACACGGGUACUGAGACACGGACCCGACUCCUACGGGAGGCAGCAGUAAGGAAUAUUGGACAAUGGCCGCAAGGCUGAUCCAGCCAUCCAGCGUGCAGGAAGAAGGCCCUAUGGGUUGUAAACUGCUUUUAUCAGGGAAUAAACCUCUGGAUUCACUCCGGAGCUGGAGGUACCUGAAGAAUAAGCACCGGCUAACUCCGUGCCAGCAGCCGCGGUAAUCCC